CACGUAGGGUGCGAGCGUUGUCCGGAAUUAUUGGGCGUAAAGAGCUCGUAGGCGGUGUGUCGCGUCGGCCGUGAAAACCUGCAGCUUAACUGUGGGCUUGCGGUCGAUACGGGCAUCACUGGAGUUCGGCAGGGGAGACUGGAAUUCCUGGUGUAGCGGUGAAAUGCGCAGAUAUCAGGAGGAACACCGGUGGCGAAGGCGGGGUCUCUGGGCCGAUACUGACGCUGGAGGAGCGAAA
rnacentral:rRNA from 1 species